UUAAUUACUAUAAGAAAACAAACUUACGAAAGACAAUAUAUACUCUUGUAGAUUCGUCCAACUUCUCUACUAAAUUCCCUCAACCACUUAUCACUGGAGUAAUUGAAACAAAUGUCUUCCUAAGCUCACACCAAUCGGGUGAUCAUCACAAAAGAGAAAACAAUACACAAAUAGACAGACACAGAAAAGCAAGGGUGAACUAGAUAUACAAAAAUC
rnacentral:lncRNA from 1 species